GAAAUGCGAUAAUUAAUGUGAAUUGCAGAAUUCAGUGAAUCAUCGAGUCUUCGAACGCACAUUGCGCCCCCUGGUAUUCCGGGGGGCAUGCCUGUCCGAGCGUCAUUGCUGCCCUCAAGCACGGCUUGUGUGUUGGGCUUCCGUCCCUGGCAACGGGGACGGGCCCAAAAGGCAGUGGCGGCACCAUGUCUGGUCCUCGAGCGUAUGGGGCUUUGUCACCCGCUCCCGUAGGUCCAGCUGGCAGCUAGCCUCGCAACCAAUCUUUUUAACCAGGUUGACCUCGGAUCAGGUAGGGAUACCCGCUGAACUUAAGC
rnacentral:misc_RNA from 1 species